rnacentral:tRNA from 1 species
GGGCCCGUAGCUCAGCCAGGAUAGAGCGUCGGCCUUCGGAGCCGGAGGCCGCGGGUUCGAAUCCCGCCGGGCCCG